UUUUAUAUUUUGUAAUACAAAUCAAAAAAAUAACAGCUUUUAUUUUAUUUCCCGCGCCCUAGUGUACCAUACCCACUCCCCCUGCCUAUUCUUCAAAUUUCAUUUCUAGCGGCCAGCAAUACGAGAACACACACGCAAAGUAUGUGAGAAUGCGAGUGCACCCAUACAUUCAAAUAUGCUGGGGGCAUAACAGAAAUUAGCAUCAGCAUUAGAUCUCUGAGAAAGAAAAAAGCAUACAAACACAUAUUUUUUGCAAUAGCAUGCAAAGAUGUUCUCUCUGCGCUCUAUCAUAAUGACGCGUCAGUACCCGAACGCCAGAGCCGAAGUCUCUGGGGUUCUCAGACUGGUAACCCAGCGUGUGACGUUUCGUAGUAUGAACUGGCACAUCUAUAUAAUGUAUGGUUAGUGGUACAGCUGACAGCGAAAUUCUAGAUUAAUCCCACAGACUUUCAACUAUUGAUCUUGUGAUUUGAGUCUAAUGGUAGCCAAACAGAGCUGGAUGAGUCAAUGAAAAUUUUUAUAUACGAUACUCAAAAUGAGUAUUGUGGAUUUGUGGUGAAAAUGGAUGUGUGGAACGUCCAGAAGUUUCAUGGUCGGUUUUGCCAAUUGCAAAAUGUGAGUUCAAGGAUCUCAGAGUUCAGAUGUAACAGAACGUCUGGGCAAGGAGAGCUGUUUCCCGCCACAUUCAAUUCAAAAUAACCACAUGCGGUAUAUUUAUGAAAGAUAUGCAACAGACAUAUCUCGGUUGCAGCCGGGAACAACGUUUAUUUUAAAUUACUUGAAAGUAUAAAUAUGUGUAGGUAUGUGUAAAAUACAAGUAUACUUUUAAUUAAAAAAUAUGAAUUUUUGUAUUACAGGAAACUAAAUCAUCUCAAUGAUAUGGAAGACACAUGUCAAGAUUAUAUUAUAUUACCUUAGAACUUAAAAGCAUUUCAGUUCAUCUAUGCUCUUAGGCAUUCAUCAUUUUGUAUCUUUAAAAAUUAAUAGUCCUUUUUCUUAUCGAACGGCCUUUUCAUUAUGCUUAGUUAUAGUAGAAAAUAUAAUACUUGAAUAUUAAAUAUUAUCAAUUCAUAUUGUAUGUUCAAGUGGAGUUCAUUUUGGGUUUGUUUUACACUCAUAUCUAAGUAAAAAUCGAUGUUCGAUAUAUGUGCCUCGUGAUGUAAGUCAUAUGUA